rnacentral:rRNA from 1 species
UGCUCAUAGCGGAGGAAAAGAAACCAACAGGGAUUGCCUCAGUAACGGCGAGUGAAGCGGCAAAAGCUCAAAUUUGAAAUCUGGCCUCUGGUCCGAGUUGUAAUUUGAAGAAGCGACUUUGGUACCGGCUCUUGUCUAUGUUCCUUGGAACAGGACGUCACAGAGGGUGAGAAUCCCGUGCGAUGAGAAGCCCGGUGCCGUGUAAAGCGUUUUCGACGAGUCGAGUUGUUUGGGAAUGCAGCUCUAAGUGGGUGGUAAAUUCCAUCUAAAGCUAAAUAUUGGCGAGAGACCGAUAGCGAACAAGUACAGUGAUGGAAAGAUGAAAAGAACUUUGAAAAGAGAGUGAAAAAGUACGUGAAAUUGUUGAAAGGGAAGGGCUUGAGAUCAGACUUUGUAUUUCCAUGGCUUUCUUUCGGGGGAGUCCUCUGGGUUUACAGGGCCAGCAUGGGUUCUGCGGGCAAGAUAAGGACCUGGGAAUGUGGCUCUGCUUCGGUGGAGUGUUAUAGCCCGGGGUACUGGUUGCCACGCGGGACCGAGGACUGCGAAUCUAGGAUGCUGGCAUAAUGAUCUUAAGCCGCCCGUCUUGAACCGGCCA